GCCCUCGUAAGCUAAUGGAUAAACUGCCUCGGUUCUAACGAGGACUUGCUGGUUCGAAUCCAGCCGAGGGUUCCA
rnacentral:tRNA from 1 species